rfam:Triticum aestivum genome assembly, contig: Triticum_aestivum_CS42_TGACv1_scaffold_211969_3AS
UAACUAUUCCCUCCGUCUGAAAAGGCUUGUCUUAAGUUUUUCCCUCAAAUGUAUCUAGCGCUAACUUGGUGCUAGAUACAUUCAUUUGAGGGACAAGCUUUUUCGGACGGAGAGAGUAGGUC